rnacentral:tRNA from 1 species
GCGAGAGUAGCUCAGGGGUUAGAGCACUGGAUUGUGAUUCCAGGGGUCGCGGGUUCAAUUCCCGUCUUUCGCC